UUGACCCAUACCAUAUAUAAUCAUUGGGCCCAUGAACUCUUCUCCAGUUCUGCUUCUUCCCAUUAUUCCAUCAUUUUGGCGGGAAACGAAACCCCACCCAUUUCAGCAUCAGCAGCUCACUCUUCGCGUUACACCGUCACUGCCUGAUAGAAAAAUCUAGAAAGGGAAAAAUGGCUGAUGAAGGAGUCGAAGAGAUGGUAGAGGAGGAGUUUUCUGUGUGGAAGAAGAACACACCAUUACUCUACGACCUCGUUGCGCUCGAGUGGCCAUCUCUCACAGUCCAAUGGCUCCUAUCGCCGCCGUCCGAUGAGGGUCCUCUCACUGUACAUGAAUUGAUACUGGGACCCAUACCUCUGAUGAAUUUCCGAAUUUCUUCAUGGUCGCGCACGCCCUCGUCCCCCGGGUACCAUCGAGAUCGAAUCCGAUAAUACCAACAUCCCUAAGGUAGAGAUUGUUCAGAAAAUACAUGAUGGGGAAGUGAAUAGAACUUGGUGCAUGCCACGAAACCAAGGUUUGGUUGCUGCUAAGACUAGUGGUUCUGAAGUAUAUGUAUUCAAAUGUACCAAGCAGCUGGUGAAUACCGGAGGGGGUUCUUGCAAUCCUGACUUGAGAUUGAGGGGGCAUGAUAAAGAAGAAUAUGGGCUGUCUUGGAGUCCAUUCAAAGGAGGAUAUCUUUUGAGUGGCUCAAAUGAUUGCAAAAUUUGCUCGUGGGAUGUUUCUGCAAUGCCUCAAGACAAAAUCCUUAAAGCAAACAUGUCUAUAGGGUUCAAACUGAUCUUUUCCUCUACUUCGCCCUUUGUGUUGAUUUUGGUUAUUUUAUCGUUGAGAUAUUUCUGUU